UUGAGCUCCUAUGUUUUUAAAGGCACCGAGUCAUUGGCGCUUGUAAGCUUUUGGCAUUUGGAUGAAGAUUAAUUUAUAGGAUUAGAAUGAUAGUAGUUUUAUACGGUUGAGUGGCUGAUCGAUUUGCUCAAAGAGAUAAGAUCUAACGGUGGAAAGCUUACAAGUACCAAAUACUUCGUGCUUUUAAAAGCGCCAUAGCCGGAUUCAUGGGAGAGUGUUUAUUUAUGCAAUUUAGUAUAUUAGCAGCAUUUUGUGUGCAAAAUAAUCAAAAAAAAAAAAACGAACAAUGCUACUUAUACAUGACUAAAAAUAUAUAUUUUAUAUAGUAUAUCCAUCUAAUUUGUCAUCUCACAUGAUUAGUAAAUCUGUUCCACCAUAGUCAAGAUAUACAUGAUGCUCCACUUUUCAGGAGACCAUCUAUUUUAGGACUAUUCUAAUUUCAACACACUUAAAUUUUUUGAACUUUAUAGAUUUAACUACCGUCCAAAAUAUUAUA
rnacentral:lncRNA from 1 species